rnacentral:rRNA from 1 species
UUCAAGGAUGAAAGACGGUUUCGGCUGUCACUUACAGAUGGACCCGCGGCGCAUUAGCUAGUUGGUGGGGUAAUGGCUCACCAAGGCGACGAUGCGUAGCCGACCUGAGAGGGUGAUCGGCCACACUGGGACUGAGACACGGCCCAGACUCCUACGGGAGGCAGCAGUAGGGAAUCUUCCGCAAUGGACGAAAGUCUGACGGAGCAACGCCGCGUGAGUGAUGAAGGUUUUCGGAUCGUAAAGCUCUGUUGUUAGGGAAGAACAAGUGCGAGA